rnacentral:rRNA from 1 species
AGCUGUAAUCAAAGUAGAUUUAAAAAUGAGAGAGACAUUUGAUCCCGUCUGAGCUUGGAAGCUAAGCAGGGUUGGGCCUGGUUAGUACUUGGAUGGGAGACCACCUAGGAAGACCAGGUGCUGUAGAUG